rnacentral:ncRNA from 1 species
CUUAUCUAGAGAGGUGGAGGGACUGGCCCGAAGAUACCUCGGCAGCAGACUUUUAUAGUACUGUGCCAAUUCCAGCAAGCGUAUGCUUGAAAGAUAAGG